CGCGCUUGGAGUGGUUAGGUGGGGGUCCCGCUCCCAUCCCCCGAGCUGUGCCGUUCGGGUCUCCUUUGCCCAGGACGGCCACACGGGGUAGCCCCUCCUCCGCCAGAGGACACGGAUGUGUCUGUUCUCGGGGAACAUCGGCCUGGCCACGGUCUAUCCCUCCCGCGUGUGGAUCCCAGAUGCCUCUGGACGGGAGCUCUGCCCAGCCGGGGCAAGGCCUGGCGAGCUGGGCCCGUCUCGGACGAGGAGUGUCGGUGGCUUCUGAGCUGUUUGGAAAUCCCUUCAGACAAGUCUUUAUUUUUCAGCCUCCAGGUGUUGUUGCAAAAAGAAGUAGAUUUGGUGGAGCCAAACACACAAUAGAGGGCUGCUGCUGCUGGAAGAUCUGUGCUCCUCGAUCGCACUGCCCACGUGAGGCACCCACGCAGACCGCACAGGGGAUGGAUGAAUUCAACCUGGGGAUGUUGCAUCACAGAACUUUCAUAAAACACUCUGUUUAACACUGAGCCAAUUCAGGGAUGAUUCAUCUUUGUUCCUGCAAACAGAUGCUGUUUUGGGCACUUCUUGUAUGCCCUGCUGGAAUUAUGCAAUGCAAUGGUGACAUUUUUUGGGGCA
rnacentral:lncRNA from 1 species